rnacentral:rRNA from 1 species
UUUCAAUGCACGCAAGUGUGAGAAGGGAAUUCCAAGUGCUCAAGUUUUACUUGGGCUUUUGCCAAGUGUAAAUAGCUUGGCGAAUAAGGGGUGGGUAAGACUGGUGCCAGCCGCCGCGGUAACACCAGCGCCUCGAGUGGGGAUCGCGAUUAUUGGGUCUAAAGCGUCCGUAGCAGGCUUUGUAAAUGCUUUGUGAAAUCGGCAGGCAUAACCUGUCGGCGUGCAGAGUAGACUGCAGAGCUUGAGACCGGGAGAUGUCAGAAGUAUUCCUAGGGUACCGGUAAAAUGGGUUAAUCCUGGGAGGACUACCGAUGGCGAAGGCAUCUGACAAGAACGGUUCUGACUGUGAGGGACGAAAGCUAGGGGAGCAAAACGG